rnacentral:rRNA from 1 species
UUUUACCACCGAGGAGCCUCUCGCUCCACCGAGAAAAAGAAGAGGACUGGCGAACGGGUGACUAACGGUGGGUAACCUGCCCAUCAGAAGGGGAUAACACUUGGAAACUGGUGCUACUACCGUAUAACAAUCGAAACCGCAUGGUUUUGAUUUGAAAGGCGCUUUCGGGUGUCUCUGAUGGAUGGACCCGCGGUGCAUUAGCUAGUUGGUGAGGUAACGGCUCACCAGGGCCACGAUGCAUACCCGACCUGAGAGGGUGAUCGGCCACUUUGGGACUGACACACGGCCCACACUCCUACGGGAGGCAGCAGUAGGGAAUCUUCGGCAAUGGACAAAUGUCUGACCGAACAACCCCGCGUGAGUGAAGAGUGUUUUCAGAUCAUAAAACUCUGUUGUUAGAAAAAAACAGGGAUGAGAGUAACUGUUCCUCCCUUGACGGUAUCUAACCAGAAAGCCACGGCUAACUACGUGCCCCCCCCCGCGGUAAUACGUGGGUGGCAAGCGUUGUCCGGAUUUAUUGGGCGUAAAGCGAGCGCACGCGGUUUCUUAACUCUGAUGUGAAACCCCCCGGCUCCCCCGGGGAGGGUCAUUGAACACUGGGAGACUUGAGUGCAGAAGAAGAGAGUGGAAUUCCGUGUGUAGCGGUGAAAUGCGUAGAUAUAUGGAGGAACACCAGUGGCGAACGCGGCUCUCUGGUCUGUAACUGACUCUGACGCUCGAAAGCGUGGGGAGCACACGGGAUUAUAUACCCUGGUAGUCCACUCCAUAAACGAUGAGUGCUAUGUGUUGGAGGGUUUCCGCCCUUCAGUGCUGCAUCUAACGUAUUACUCCCUCCGCCGGGAGAGUACCACCGCAGGGUAAAACUAAAAGAAUUGACGGGGCCCGCACCCCCGGUGGAGCGUGUGUUUUUUUCAAACCACAAAAACACCUUACGGGUCUUGACUUCUUUGACCCUCGAAAAAAAAACCUCCCCGUGGGGGGCAAAAUAACAGGUGGGCGUGUUUUCCACCCCCCUUUUCAAAAAGGUGGGUU